rnacentral:rRNA from 1 species
GACGAACGCUGGCGGCGUGCUUAACACAUGCAAGUCGAACGGAAAGACCCUGCUUUUGUGGGGUGCUCGAGUGGCGAACGGGUGAGUAACACGUGAGUAACCUGCCCUUGACUUUGGGAUAACUUCAGGAAACUGGGGCUAAUACCGGAUAGGAGCUCCUGCUGCAUGGUGGGGGUUGGAAAGUUUCGGCGGGUGGGGAUGGACUCGCGGCUUAUCAGCUUGUUGGUGGGGUAGUGGCUUACCAAGGCUUUGACGGGUAGCUGGCCUGAGAGGGUACCCGGCCACUUUGUGAAUAAGAUGUGCCCGACCCUCCGUUGGGAGGCAGCAGUGGGGAAAAUUCAAAAAGGGUCGGAGCCCGUACGGGCGACGCCCGCGUGGGGAGUGACGCCUUUCGGCUAGAAGCCCCCUUUGCCCUGAUACAAAGCGUCAGGAGGGGUAAUGGUAAGAGAAUCACCGUCUACAUACGCG